rnacentral:rRNA from 1 species
UACGUAGGUGGCGAGCGUUGUCCGGAUUUAUUGGGCGUAAAGCGCGCGCAGGCGGUCGCGUAAGUCUGCUGUGAAAUCUCCCUGGCUCAACCUGGAGGGGGCGGCGGAGACUGCGGGACUGGAGGGACCUAGAGGCCGGUGGAAUUCCCGGUGUAGUGGUGAAAUGCGUAGAUAUUGGGAGGAACACCGGUGGCGAAGGCGGCCCCCUGGACCGGUACUGACGCUGAGGCGCGAAAGCGUGGGGAGCAAACGGG